GCAUAUCAAUAAGCGGAGGAAAAGAAACCAACAGGGAUUACCUCAGUAACGGCGAGUGAAGCGGUAACAGCUCAAAUUUGAAAUCGGCCACCCGGUCGAGUUGUAAUUUGCAGAGGAUGCUUCGGCUUACGCCCCGGUCCAAGUCCGUUGGAACACGGCGUCGCAGAGGGUGAGAAUCCCGUUGCGGCCGGCGGCCACGCCAUGUGAAGCUCCUUCGACGAGUCGAGUUGUUUGGGAAUGCAGCUCAAAAUGGGAGGUAAAUUUCUUCUAAAGCUAAAUAUUGGCCCGAGACCGAUAGCGCACAAGUAGAGUGAUCGAAAGAUGAAAAGCAUCUUGGAAAGGAAUCGAAACAGCACGUGAAAUUGUUGAAGGGGAAGCGCUCGCGGCGAGAGCCCGCGCGGUCGUUCACCGGGGCCUCGCGCCCCGGGCACGCGGCCGCGUCGGCCAGCAUCGGUUCGGGCGGCGGGAGAAACGCCGACGGCAUGUAGCUCCCCUCGGGGAGUGUUAUAGCCGCGGCGCAAUACCGCCCGCCUGGACCGUGGCACGCGCUCUCGCUCGGAUGCUGGCGUAAUCGCCGCGAGCGGCCCGUCUUGAAACACGGACC
rnacentral:rRNA from 1 species